UCUCUGCGACUUUCAUCGUGGCUUCCA
rnacentral:sRNA from 1 species